AAAAUUAAGAUAAUUAAAAAUCAAUUGUUCAGAGAACAAUUGAAAGUCUUUCCACAUCAAAGAAAUUUUGAUAAGAAGAUAGUUUCUUCAUACUAAUUCGAUAAAUAAUGGUUUAAUUAUAUUUUUGAGUGAUGUAAGGGAGAUAAAAUGCUACUUCCGGUGAAAUGAAUGUCACUUCCGGUCUCAUAUGAUAGCUUCUUUCACACUGAUUCCAAAAAUAUAUAGUUUCUAUAUACUCUUGUAUGUAGAAUGGGAGAUAAUUGGACACUUCCGGUUUGUUGGAUGUUAUUUUUAGUCUUCAGUUAUCAGUUUAUGUAUCUAUAUGACAAAAUAUAUGGAUUCUGAGUAAUUUUAUAUGAAAAAUUUGCAAAAAAGGCUACUUCCGGUUUUCUCAAGAUCACUUCCGGUUGUCAUUUUUCAAGGUCAUUUGUCACCUUACCUUUUGUACAAGGUCAAAUGCCUUUAUAAUGAACUUAGUUGAAGUUUUAAUCAAAUAACCUCAUAUCAAGACAUUUCAGGGGCACCAACUCCUAUAAGAUGACAUUUAAUUGUAUCAGACAUAAUGUAGCAUAUCUUCAUAAAAAUAAAGCAGACAUUUUGCACUUGUUCUUUUAUAUGUAUCUUUCAAAGUGUCAGAGAAAAUGCAAAAACAUGCAAAAGUCACAAUUGAGAACUUGACCUUGACCUUUGACUUUGACCUAAUUUUCUAAUUUAGGACCCAUGGGACUCAAAUAAAAACAUUCCAGGGUUAUAUGAUUAACGGUUUAUGAGUUAAAAAAACAUACCGACAAAUUUAUUCCGUAAAGGUAGAUAACUCCUAUAAAAUUUCAUCGAAUCGCUUCAAUCCAAAUUAGCCAAAAAUUCCUGAGGAUGUAACGAACAAUUUGUAAAAAGAAUUUUGUCGCUAUCUUUUUUUGUUACGAAGGAGAUACACUCUGAUGAUAAACAGUGAAUAGGGAGAUAACUCUUACAAAGAAAAUGGUUCGCCUUAGCAGGGUGAAAUUUAAAAGCGCAUAAACUAUACGAUACUAUAUGAAGAAAUAUCUAAGCGACAUAUUGCGAAACAAACAUUUAUCGCUAGAACAAAAUUUGGCGGAAAAAGCUUUUUCCGGUUUUCUAAAGGUCACUUCCGGUAGCCAUUUUUCAAGGUCAUUUGUCACUUAACCUUUUGUAUAAGGUCAAAUGUCUUUAUAAUGAACUUAAUUGAAGUUAUAAUCAAAUAACCUCAUAUCAAGACAUUCCAGGGGCACCAACUCCUAUAAGAUGCCAUUUAAUUGUAUAAGACUAAAUGUAGCAUAUCUUCAUUACAAUAAAGCUGACAUUUUGCACUUGUUCUUUAAUAUGUAUCUUUCAAAGUGUCAGAAAAAAUGCAAAAACAAGCAAAAGUCACAAUUGAGAACUUGACCUUGACCUUUGACCUUGACCUCAUUUUCUAAGUUAGGACCUAGGGGACUCAAAUAAAAACAUUCCAGGGUUAUACGGUUAACUGUUUAUGAGUUAAAUACACAUACCGACAAAUUUAUUUUGUAAAGGUAGAUAACUCCUAUAAAAUUUCAUCGAAUCGCUUCGAUCCAAAUACGCCAAAAAUUACUGAGGAUGUAACGAACAAUUUGUUAAAAGAAUUUUGUCGCUAUCUUGUUUUGUUACGAAGGAGAUGCACACAGAGUGUAAACAGUGAAAAGGGAGAUAACUCUUACAUAGAAAAUGGUUCGCCUAAGGAGGGUGAAAUUUAAAAGCGCAUAAACUAUACGAUACCAUAUGAGAAAUAUCUAAGCGACAUAUUGCGAAACAAACAUUUUGCGCAAGAACAAAAUUUAGCGGAAGAAAAAAA
rnacentral:lncRNA from 1 species